GUGGGGAGCAAGGGCACGCCAACUUCCUGACAGCCCCCUUUCCUGGGCUGCAGCCCUCUCUGUCUUUGGCCACCAUUCUCUAACUGUACAGCCUCAGCAAGUCCAAGUGCUCAUCUCAGAGUGUCUGCCAAAUGGAAUCCCUGUCCUGCUCUGUUAGUACCUGGGGCUCCCUCUUCUGAGUGGGACAGGCCAUGGUGCUGGCCUAUGCUCCUGCAGAGGACCAGACCUGGAGCACGGAAAGAGGCCUGGAAUAAUAGAUCCUUUUAAGAGGAGGAGAAGUCAGAGUCAUGGGGGGAUGAUAGUGGCAGCUGAGGUCAUAGGGGUCUGUGAACCAGGAGCACACGUGGCCUCUGAGGGACAAUAAAGCCUGACCAAGAGCUUGCUUUGAGACCUGCUUCAAAUUUCUGACCUCCAGUGACAUGGUAGAUGAAUUUCCCUGGCUGUGGAGUGAGCUGGAACUAGAACAUAGAGACUGAAGCAAGCAAGGUAAGCUGCCAACCGCGGGCUGCAGAGAAACAGAAGAACAGUAAAAAACUGGAAAGAGCGAGUGGGUGUGGUGGGGAGAGUCAAAUGGACCCUUUCUAACCCUUGUCUGUCAUUAGCAUUUUUUCAACCUUUAGAAAUUUGAUGGGUGAAAAAGAAUUUAACUUCUGGCUCUAUAUGUGUUUCUUGUUUACUAGAAAGGUUGAAUUUUACUUUGGUGGGGUGUGUGAAUAAUAUGCUCACUGGUGAUGUCUUCUUUUGUGAGGUGCCCAUUUGUAGCUUCUGACUGUGUGUUCAUGACCAUGGUUCAUGAUCAUGAGGAAGCUUUUUGCAGAAUGCAAAGCCAAGCAUAUUUGCUGUUCCUCAUGUUAUCGGCUGCGUGCAGGUACACAUUUGUGGUUGGAGUCUAUUUUUGAAUUUAUGCUGGCAAGAAAAGUUCUAGUUACUGGGGACAAUGAAUUUUCUUCCCUCGAGUAUCUGCCUGAGGGCACUCCCUGACCUUUGCUACCUUGGGAUGUCUGGUUGGAAUGGUAAGGAGGAAUAUCAGGUGUUCACAGUCCAGGUGACAGGAAGAGAACAUGGACACAGACCAGGAGGCCAAGCCCCCCUCAAUUUGCUGGGAUGCUGGUGAGAAAUAACCUUUUGGUCUCAAUGAAAAUGUGAGACAGGAGGGUGGUUACCUGUGGGGUCACCACUAGAGUUGUGUGCAUGCACAUGAACUUUUACUUCUCCAUUUCUGCCCUCCAUUCCUGAAUGGAUUCAUGAGCUUUCCUGACGUUUUGGUAUAAAAAGUCUUGAGAAUACAGAAAUCCGUGGAGGAUGGUGCACGAACACCUACACGUGCUAUUGGAGUCCCUGCCAGCAUCUGUCCCCCCACUGCCCAUCUCUACUCUCAUGCUUUAUCCCUCAGACACAUCGAUGCCUUUCAAUUUACCUUGAUGCAGAUCAAGGUAAACCGCAUUCUUGAAAUGUCUUUGUAAUCAACUUUGUAGUCUGUUUUAAACAGAAGUAUUUAAAUGAAAUGAUACCUAAUGUCAUGUCUGACUUCAAGGAUGACAAAUGUAGCACUCUUUAGCAAAAAGAUUUCAGGCAUGUGUGUCCCUUAAUUUCUUUAAUACAGAUGAUAUGUGAGGUUUUGUUGUUGCCGUGGAAAAUAGAAAAUAGAGCAAAAAGAAAAAAGAAAGAAAAUCACCUAGAGAGCUGAUUUUUGCUGUUUACAUCUGAAUUUUUCCAGUACAAAUAGAUACAAAUAAAUAAAUGGAACCCUGUUUCUCUAACUUUGUCAGAGAUAAGUGAGGUGGCAGUGAAUGUCUUUCCAUAUGCAUAGUGAUGAUAGGUAGCCCAUGGGGUCAGUGUGACUGUCCCACAUUGUAUAUGGAAAGACGAAGCUAAGGGAGGUCCAAAAACUGCUUUUGUAUAAGCAAGUACUAAGUGCAGAGCCAGAGCUUGAAUUGAAGUCUGGCUUAACACCAAGGACAUACACUCAACUAUUUCAUUUGUUUCCAAUUCCAAAAAAAUUAGCAUUCUUGAUUGUGUUCUAAGAAAUGAAUAAACGCCUUUGGAUGAUGGAGAAUGCUUUUGGCAAUCAAAAUAGCAUUUAGAAGUAUUUGGCUGCACUAAGAGACAUGGUGGCAAGUGAGAAGCAGCCAGCUGGCCCAUGCUGAGUCCCAGGAGCAAGAUAAUCUGUCUGGAGUCAAGGAUCUGUCCCUGGCCUGAGGAACAAUGUCACAGAUAUGGCCAAGGGGAUUUUGCUCGCAUGAUCAAGGAGAGGAGAACUGACAAUCUAUGGACAAGGUGAACAAGUGACUCACAAGAUUUUCACCUGGGCUGGGCAUACAGUGGUAUAUGGCUGUAAUCCUAGAUCUUUGGGAGGCUGAGGCAGGAAGAUCGAAAGUUUGAGCCUUGCAGGGGCAAUUUAGUGACUUAGUAAGACCUUGUUUCACUGAUAUAAAAAGGGCUAGGGAUGUAGCACAAUGUGAAGGUUCUGUGUUUAAUCCCCAGUAUUCUCCCUGCAAAAAAAUUCACCGGAUGGAAGCCAGCGGUCUGAGAGCCAGGCAGCUCCACAUCCUGCCCACCCUUACUGUUGGGGCCCUUACUGCUACUAACUCUUCCCCCAGGAAAGGGCCAGGAGACCCAUGUUCCUUAGCGGAUGCACAGAUACUAGAAUAAGCGUAGAUUUCAGCAUGCUUUGAGGACUUCAGUGUUGCAAGUACGUGUGUCAUGGCAUGAGGUCUUGGGUUGGUGUUUUUUAAAUUGUUACUAUUUUUGGAAUUUGUGUGUUACUUGGAAUGGAACCCCAAACUUGUACACAGAGCUACAUCCUCAAGGCUGUGUUUUGUUUUGUAUUGUUAAAUUUUGGGGCAAGGUCUUACUAAGUUUUCCAGGCUGGGUUCCAACUUGGGAUUCUCCUGACUCAGCCUCUCAGAGUGCUAGGAUUAGAGGCAUGUGCCACCACAUCUGGCUUUGCUCUGAGUCUUUAGGAGAUUUUAAUUCCUUUAUUAAUUUUCUUGGUAAGGCAGAUUUUGUUUUGCAAACAAAAUCCCAUCUCACUUUCACCUCACAGUUAUGUUCUAGAAAGAACUUAAGUGCAUUUAUUCAAGGUGAUAAAAAAUGAAAGCUGGGCUGGGGAUUUAGCUCAGUGGCAUAAGCGCCUGCUUUGCAAGCAUGCGAUCGUGAGUUCGAUCCCUGAUACCUAUUAAAAAAAAAAAAAAAGAUGAAACCUGUAGAAGCUGCCUCUGGUGUGAGUUCAAAGUCCCUGGUACAGAGGUGAAAGCCAAGGUCAUCCUCUGCUCCGAGCCCAGAUUCUGUAGCGAUGAAGAGUCACAGGCACUGGGAGGGAAGGCUACAAAUGCUCUACUGUCGCAUGAUGAUCAGCAGAUACAGUGAUUCGUUUGUCUCGGGGCAAGCACAGGGAAGGAGGGAAAAGAGUUUAGCAACCUCUGAAUUUGGCCUCUUCUAUGUGAACCGAGCCUACUUCAAUGAUGUCUUCACAGCCACAUUUCUUUGCAUCCCCACGAACAUCCUGAUCUGAGCAGAAGAAAACUGUGCCCGUAGGAGUGGUAUGAUUUUGGUUUUGAUUUGGGCCUGAAAUGCUACUUUUAUGAGGAGAAAAGUGGGUAAAGAUGUAAACAAGUGAUUCAUCGCAUGGAAACCAGCACAAGGCUGAGCGCUAUCAUCCACGUGUGCUGAUCACAAACAGGAAAAACAUUUUGUACCUUCACAUGAAACAGAAACAACAGUCACUCUGUCUAGUGCUGGUCCACAAAUAACACAAUCUUGAGCUUUUCCUGUGAACCCGGACUCUGAUAGAUGCAGCCUUGUCUCUGAUUUUGGAAGUAAUGUAGUACUGUGCAUAAUUACGUGAGGCAGUUUUUUGUUUGUUUAAAUAUUUUGUUACUAUUUGCUUUAAAAAAAAGCUUUACAUACUGUUGUGUUAUUUAUUAGGCUUUCAAAAACAGUACCAAUGAUCUUCAAAACAAAAAUAAAGUUUUGGAUGACCUGGGUUUUUUUUAACUGAA